rnacentral:rRNA from 1 species
UCUCGGGCCCGAGUUGUAAUUUGUAGAGGAUACUUUUGAUGCGGUGCCUUCCGAGUUCCCUGGAACGGGACGCCAUAGAGGGUGAGAGCCCCGUCUGGUUGGAUGCCAAAUCUCUGUAAAGUUCCUUCAACGAGUCGAGUAGUUUGGGAAUGCUGCUCUAAAUGGGAGGUAUAUGUCUUCUAAAGCUAAAUACCGGCCAGAGACCGAUAGCGCACAAGUAGAGUGAUCGAAAGAUGAAAAGCACUUUGAAAAGAGAGUUAAAAAGUACGUGAAAUUGUUGAAAGGGAAGCGUUUAUGACCAGACUUGGGCUUGGUUAAUCAUCUGGGGUUCUCCCCAGUGCACUUUUCCAGUCCAGGCCAGCAUCAGUUUUCCCCGGGGGAUAAAGGCGGCGGGAAUGUGGCUCUCUUCGGGGAGUGUUAUAGCCCACCGUGUAAUACCCUGGGGGGGACUGAGGUUCGCGCAUCUGCAAGGAUGCUGGCGUAAUGGUCAUCAACGACCCGUCUUGAAACACGGACCAAGGAGUCGUCUUCGUAUGCGAGUGUUCGGGUGUCAAACCCCUACGCGUAAUGAAAGUGAACGCAGGUGAGAGCUUCGGCGCAUCAUCGACCGAUCCUGAUGUUCUCGGAUGGAUUUGAGUAAGAGCAUACGGGGCCGGACCCGAAAGAAGGUGAACUAUGCCUGUAUAGGGUGAAGCCAGAGGAAACUCUGGUGGAGGCUCGCAGCGGUUCUGACGUGCAAAUCGAUCGUCAAAUAUGGGCAUGGGGGCGAAAGACUAAUCGAACCUUCUAGU